rnacentral:rRNA from 1 species
UACAGAGGCCUCAAGCGUUAAUCGGAAUCACUGGGCUUAAAGGGCGCGUAGGCGGCGCUGCAAGUGCCUUGUGAAAUCCCAUCGCUUAACGAUGGAACUGCUCGGUAGACUGCAGUGCUUGAGGUUGGUAGGGGCUGCCGGAACUCUAGGUGGAGCGGUGAAAUGCGUAGAUAUCUAGAGGAACGCCCAAGGCGAAGGCAGGCAGCUGGGCCAAUUCUGACGCUGAGGCACGAAAGCGUGGGGAGCAAACGGG